rnacentral:rRNA from 1 species
AUUGAACGCUGGCGGCAUGCCUUACACAUGCAAGUCGAACGGCAGCACGGGGCAACCUGGUGGCGAGUGGCGAACGGGUGAGUAAUGCAUCGGAACGUACCUUUCAGUGGGGGAUAACGUAGCGAAAGUUACGCUAAUACCGCAUAUUCUGUGUGCAGGAAAGCAGGGGAUCGCAAGACCUUGCGCUGAUUGAGCGGCCGAUGUCAGAUUAGCUAGUUGGUGAGGUAAGGCUCACCAAGGCGACGAUCUGUAGCGGGCCUGAGAGGAUGAUCCGCCACACUGGAACUGAGACACGGUCCAGACUCCUACGGGAGGCAGCAGUGGGGAAUUUUGGACAAUGGGGGCAACCCUGAUCCAGCCAUGCCGCGUGAGUGAAGAAGGCCUUCGGGUUGUAAAGCUCUUUCGGCCGGGAAGAAAUCGCACGGGCUAAUACCCUGUGUGGAUGACGGUACCGGAAUAAGAAGCACCGGCUAACUACGUGCCAGCCGCCGCGGUAACAC